GUAAACGACGCCGGUCGUGCAAUCAGUGUAUCUAUUCGUAUGUUUGGUAAUACCAAGCAUACGAGUAGAUACACUGAUUGCACGACCGGCGUCGUU
rnacentral:pre_miRNA from 1 species